ensembl:lncRNA novel transcript, sense intronic to ZNF155
CCAUAAGAAUACGUUUUUUGGAAAGUGGUAUAUGGCAGUAUGUAUAAGGUACAACUGUUCAACCUGGAAAUCAUAGGAUAGAAAAUUACAACAUUAAAACUCUGAAAAUUAGUAGAUUACAUGGAUGAUGUCACUUAAUUUUAAAAUGGAAAGAACAAGUGUUCAACCACAGGAAUUUGUAUGAAGUGCAUUUAUUAAUAUAAAAACACAAAGCCAGUAAAAUGAUGACAUAGAUGUACAAUAAAAAGAGAAGAGCAUAAUGUAUGCCUUAGGGAAAUCCUAUUGUAGCCUUCAUAACAAACUAAGUGUCUUUGUGUUUCUGGGUUUGUUUAUUUGGUUAUUUUUAGUGUGUAUGUACAUCAUUUGUGGAUGAAUAUUCUGACAUUUUCCCUGGCAAUGAGUAUUUGCUGGAAUUUUUCAUUUUAUAAUUUUAUGCAUUUUAAAUUUCUCAUUGAACACCAAUUUUACCAAAGCAGUUAUGUGAUGAAAAAUUUGAAAAAUUAUUAAUAUUAAUCACUUACCUAUAAGGACUCUGAAUAAGAUUGCUCUACAUUGUCAUAUGACAGUUCAAAAUUAAGGAAUAGGGAUGUGGAAGUCAUAUUUCAAAAUAAAAAAAUGUAUCUGGUCACCUGGA